CCAUAGAUCGUACUUCCGGUCGUACGUUGUUUAGGUCGAGCUGUUGAGGUAGACAGGAAAGCUAUGCUGAGGAAAAAAUAAUUUAAAAUCGUAUUUAGGGGCGCUUUGAACGUGGGAUUACGAUUUAUUUAAUGAUGACAGAUAACUUUAGUUUUUGUUACCAAAAUGUUGUGAGAAAAUGCAAUAAUUUUUUCAUGAAAGGCUCAUCAUGGGAGGAGUGCUUAGGACUUUAUGUGGAGAAAGUGCAGGUGGGAGUUGUACGUAAGGAUAUAGUCGAGAAGCUUGUGCAGUUCCCUGAUAUAUUUGAGGUUGUGAAGGCUGACAGUGAAGGGAAUGAAAAACCACCUGGUGUCUACCUGUCACAAUACUUGCUGCUACCUGAAGACAGAACAAAAGCACUGGAUCAUGUAAUGAGAGUACUCAGGCAACAAGAUGAACUAGUUGCUCUGAGAGGAUGGCGAGAUGAGAUGUACAACGUUAUGAGGACAUUUUCAGGCCGACCCUACUUUCAGGUGGAGCGAGCUGCAUCAUCUUUGAUUGGUGUGAUGACAUAUGGGGUGCACAUCAAUGGCUAUACAUACAGUCCAGAUGGAAAGCUGAUGAUGUGGAUUGGUCAUAGGUCCAAAAGCAAACCUACGUACCCGGACAUGUAUGACAACAUGAGUGCUGGCGGGUUGACAGCAGGCCUGUCAGUGAUGGAGUGUGCAUUAAAAGAAUGCUCAGAAGAAGCAGCAGUGCCAGAUGAGCACCUAAAACACCUGAAACAAGUUGGACUUGUUAGUUGCUGUUAUGAGAAUGAAAAAGGAGUGUUUCCGGAGAACUUGUUUGUCUUUGAUCUUGAGUUGCCUGCAGAUUUCAAACCAGUGAACAGAGAUGGUGAGAUGGACACUUUCUACCUCCUGCCACUGGACAAGGUGCUGAAACAAUUAUGGUGAUGGCUCUAUGGGAUUUUACAGGUCAAAGAACUGAUCAUUGGGGAUGGCUUCAAACCCAACUGUGCAUUAGUCAUACUUGACUUUUUUAUUCGACAUGGCAUCAUUACUGCAGACUCUGAGCCUAACUACUGCUUAUUAGUUGAGC
rnacentral:misc_RNA from 1 species